GACAUGCAGAGAACUUUCCAGAGAUGGAUUGGUGGCCUUCGGGAACUCUGACACAGGUGCUGCAUGGCUGUCGUCAGCCCGUGUCGUGAGAUGUUGGGUUAAGUCCGUAACGAGCGCAACCCUUGUCCUUAGUUACCAGCACGUUAUGGUGGGCACUCUAAGGAGACUGCCGGUGACAAACCGGAGGAAGGUGGGGAUGACGUCAAGUCAUCAUGGCCCUUACGGCCUGGGCUACACACGUGCUACAAUGGUCGGUACAAAGGGUUGCCAAGCCGCGAGGUGGAGCUAAUCCCAUAAAACCGAUCGUAGUCCGGAUCGCAGUCUGCAACUCGACUGCGUGAAGUCGGAAUCGCUAGUAAUCGUGAAUCAGAAUGUCACGGUGAAUACGUUCCCGGGCCUU
rnacentral:rRNA from 1 species